UCACCAUCCUGUGUGCUCUCAGAAGAAAAGGGUGAUUCAGUUACUUUUAGACUCUACCUAGGGAGACACGUAAACACAUGAAAUAUUAAGACUGAGCAGAAAGCAGGAUGAAAUGCACACUCAUUUUUGUGGCUCCCAGGCCUGGUGGGUCUGGACAGCUUUGUGAACUCUGCUGCCCACUUGCCAAAACCCCUUGCUCAGCUGGAGGAGAUUUCAAUCAGCAAGCUUAUCUCUGCUUAAUGAAGCCAUAUCCAAAUUUGUCACCAGGUCAUGUUUGAAGGAACAGGCAAUUUGUUGAAGUCAUUUCGGAUGCAGGAAAUCCUGUGUUUACUAGCUAGGAAAUACUACAUAAAGAUCUGGAUUUUUUCCCCCUUGUAAUGCUCUUUCCAAUUGAAAUUUAGCAACAGAGCCAGUGCUGAUAAGAAGAACAUUGGUCAGGAAAUGACAAUAUGGUGAUAGCCAAUGGUACACAAUAGGCCUUACCUCUUUGUUCCCAGCCUGAUUCUCAAAAUUGCUGGAUAGAAUCACUUCCUUCAGGGAGUCCCCAUUCCUUCACAGGUCCAUGUCUCUUAAGUGCUGAGGCCUUUAGAGAGGCAGUGCAAUCUCCCUGUAAAUGUCAAAAAGAAUGUAGGAGGGUAAUGCCUGGAAAAUUCUGGACUCAUCCGUAAAGAUGCUGGGGGAUCAUGUAUAAGUGGGACAGGAAGCUUCUCUAGGUCUUGGUUAAUCUAACUAAAUCAACUAUAUGAGCAUGAAGUAGGCCCCCUUUGAAGUCACCGGCUUAAACAAUAAUAUCUAUACUGAUGACUAAAGAGCUCCCUCCGGUCAAAGGAUCAGAGGACUGCAAACAAGAUUUGAUGGACAUUACACAACAUGCUGAAGCUAUGAAGUAAUAUAUUUAAAGAAAAAAGGCGUCAAUAGAAGAGCACCUAGAAGAAGGAGGACUACAGGGAAAUGACAUCCAUCACUAAGCUUCAAAGAUCAAGUUAAAGCAAAAGACUACUGUGGCAACUGAGAGAUGAGCAGUGUGGAAGAACUCGACAGGACGCGUGGAGUAGAUGCUUAAGAUCACUUGUUAACAAUGAGAAGGAGGAGGGCACUUUUGUAAUCACUGUGCUUAUCUGGAUGUGGCCAGGCUGAGUAAAUGUGAACGUUUGCUGGACCGGCUGCUCUUGGCUAUUGCAAUACCUGGAGGGCAAGGAUUCUGAAUCGUCAUGACCUCUCGCCUUGAGAAUGGACUGUGUAUCCAAGGGUUUGUUCAAUAAAUACUCCCUAAAGGACCAACUCUGAGACAACAGAGGUAUUCCACUGCUCUAUUAAGAAAGAACAUUACUUAUUACUUAUUAAUUGAACAUGGACACCGAGCGGAUCCUUGAAGAUUAUCUUGCCCAAACCACUUUAAUGAGUCCUACCUUACAGGUAGGAAAUUGGUGCAACCCUAGGUCUAGCUUCCCAGUUCCUGCUCCUGGGAUACCCCCAUGACAUUGGCAGCUGAGUCACCAGAGUGACACAACCUGCCUUUACUUCUUUACUGCUGUUUUCCUACUUAUUUAUUUUUUUUAAUCAAUAAAUGUUUUUCUCUGGGCAUAUCACCUUGUUGGACAUCAUCAGCACCUAGAGGUAGUGAAGAGACUGGGAAUUAGAAGAAGAAAUGCAUACUCACCAUCUCUACUGCUUUUAGGCCACUUCUCAAGGUACUUAUUUCUUUGUCCAGCUCAGUCAUGCUGUUGUAAACAGCAAUAUUUUAGUAUCCAACGUGUGACUUACAUGUAUUAGACAGAUGAUGGUUUACAUAUCUCAUGCUUGGAAGUCCCACACUAGUUUAUUUUAAAUGCUUAAAACUCCCUUUAUUGCUCAGA